rnacentral:rRNA from 1 species
CCUACGGGAGGCAGCAGUGGGGGAUAUUGGACAAUGGGGGGAACCCUGAUCCAGCGACGCCGCGUGAGUGAAGAAGUAUUUCGGUAUGUAAAGCUCUGUCAGCAGGGAAGAAAGAAAUGACGGUACCUGACCAAGAAGCCCCGGCUAACUACGUGCCAGCAGCCGCGGUAAUACGUAGGGGGCAAGCGUUAUCCGGAAUUACUGGGUGUAAAGGGAGCGUAGACGGUUAAGUAAGUCUGGAGUGAAAGGCCGGGGCGCAACCCCGGGACUGCUCUGGAAACUAUUGAACUUGAGUGCAGGAGAGGUAAGCGGAAUUCCUAGUGUAGCGGUGAAAUGCGUAGAUAUUAGGAGGAACACCAGUGGCGAAGGCGGCUUACUGGACUGUAACUGACGUUGAGGCUCGAAAGCGUGGGGAGCAAACAGGAUUAGAUACCCUAGUAGUC